UAUAAACAUAAAGUCUAAUUAAAGAUAAUUAUACUGCUAUUUUUCCUACUUCAGGUUUAUAGCUGAGACUAAAUGCUGUAUGACGGAAAUCAUUUUUACAGAGGGAAAUGAAGGAAACCAAUUUUUAGGAACUUAAAGAAAAGUCCUCAAAUAUUCUUUAACCAGAGAGCUAGAUAUGAGACCUCUGGGUUUUGGAACAAGGAAUUUUAUCAUGGGAUUUUUAAAGCAAAUAUACAAACCAGAGGGUCUGAAGUUUCUGAUCCUAAAUGGAAAAAAAAUAUAUGGAAAAUAGCUCCUCUUUAAGUUCCCCCAUUCCCAGAGGAAAAAAAAAAUCCAUCUUUAUAGAAAGAACAUAGUUAGUUGGGUUUUUGUUUGUUUGUUUGUUUGGGUUUUUUUUUUUUUUGGAUAUGUGAAUGUAGAGUGGGGAAACCUGUUUGACCCUAUGUACAGACUGCUGAUUGACUCAUUAGUGUUCAGUAUACUCUGCAUAGUGUGGCAAGGUAACUAGUUGCUUGUGCAAUGGAACAGGAGAAGAGUGUCCACCAAGGUUUCUCCCUCCUCUCUCCAUCCUGAGAGCCCAUCAUGUUUGCUGCAGGAUCCCCACCAUUCAGCACCAUGAGUCCCUGCUACCACCAUAAUCCCAGACAUGGUCAAUCCAUUUCAGUCGCCACCAUCUGGAAAUGCCGUCACAGGAGAUCAGUAACCCCAGAGGAAGCAGAUACUUAAAACAUUAAACUAAAGAACACUCACUGGGGUGAGAAAAAGAGAAUUCACCUUUACCUUGACUCUGCAGUUUGAACAACUCUUAAGGUCCUUGACUUCUAGCAAUCCAGACCAGGGCUUGGGCUUAUCUGCUUCUUGGUGAUGUCUUCUAAGAAACAUCUUAGUAGCUUUAGAGAGUACUUCACACAAUGGAACUGAGACCAACUGAGGGACCUCUCAAACUCAUGAUGGUCCAUCCCAUACUAGAUAAGUAUAUUGUCUACUACUAGGCAGUUUUGUCUGGAGAUAACACACAGAGAAUUCUACAGCACAUGUUCUGGAGAAAGGAAGGAAAGAGUAAAAUAAAAAAU
rnacentral:lncRNA from 1 species